rnacentral:rRNA from 1 species
UACGAACUGUGCAAACGUUAUUCGGAAUCACUGGGCUUAAAGGGUGCGUAGGCGGCCAUGUAAGUGAGGUGUGAAAUCCCUCGGCUCAACCGAGGAACUGCGCUUCAUACUGCAUGGCUUGAGGGAGACAGGGGUAAGCGGAACUGAUGGUGGAGCGGUGAAAUGCGUUGAUAUCAUCAGGAACACCGGUGGCGAAAGCGGCUUACUGGGUCUCUUCUGACGCUGAGGUACGAAAGCUAGGGGAGCGAACGGG